GAUUAGAGUUUGAUCAUGGCUCAGAUUGAACGCUGGCGGCAUGCCUUACACAUGCAAGUCGAACGGCAGCAUGGAGGAGCUUGCUCCUCUGAUGGCGAGUGGCGAACGGGUGAGUAAAGCAUCGGAACGUACCGCGUAGUGGGGGAUAACGUAGCGAAAGUUACGCUAAUACCGCAUACGCACUGAGGUGGAAAGCAGGGGAUCGCAAGACCUUGCGCUAUACGAGCGGCCGAUGUCAGAUUAGCUAGUUGGUAGGGUAAAGGCCUACCAAGGCGACGAUCUGUAGCGGGUCUGAGAGGAUGAUCCGCCACACUGGGACUGAGACACGGCCCAGACUCCUACGGGAGGCAGCAGUGGGGAAUUUUGGACAAUGGGGGAAACCCUGAUCCAGCCAUGCCGCGUGAGUGAAGAAGGCCUUCGGGUUGUAAAGCUCUUUCGGCUGGGAAGAAAUCGCACAGGCUAAUACUCUGUGUGGAUGACGGUACCAGCAUAAGAAGC
rnacentral:rRNA from 1 species